GCCGCCUACGGGACGCAGCAGUGAGGAAUAUUGGUCAAUGGGCGGGAGCCUGAACCAGCCAAGUCGCGUGAGGGAAGACGGUCCUAUGGAUUGUAAACCUCUUUAGGCGGGGAGCAAUGCCGGGCACGCGUGCCCGGAGGGAGAGUACCCGCAGAAUAAGCAUAGGCUAACUCCGUGCCAGCAGCCGCGGUAAUACGGAGGAUGCGAGCGUUAUCCGGAUUUAUUGGGUUUAAAGGGAGCGUAGGCGGAUUUUUAAGUCAGCGGUAAAAUGUCCGGGCCCAACCCCGGCCCGCCGUUGAAACGGG
rnacentral:rRNA from 1 species